rnacentral:rRNA from 1 species
GACGAACGCUAGCGGCGUGCUUAACACAUGCAAGUCGAACGGAGAAGCUCCAGCUUGCUGGAGUGGAUCAGUGGCGAACGGGUGAGUAACACGUGAGCAACCUGCCCCUGACUCUGGAAUAAGCGCUGGAAACGGCGUCUAAUACUGGAUACGAGAAGGGUCCGCAUGGGCACUUUCUGGAAAGUUUUUCGGUUGGGGAUGGGCUCGCGGCGUAUCAGCUUGUUGGUGUGGUUAUGGCUCACCAAGGCGACGACGGGUAGCCGGCCUGAGAGGGCGACCGGCCACACUGGGACUGAGACACGGCACAGGCUCCUACGGGAGGCAGCAGUGGGGAAUAUUGCACAAUGGGCGAAAGCCUGAUGCAGCGACGCCGCGUGAGGGAUGACGGCCUUCGGGUUGUAAACCUCUUUCAGCAGGGAAGAAGCGAAAGUGACGGUACCUGCAGAAGAAGCACCGGCUAACUACGUG